AUAGUUGCCUGGCAAAGAAGAUACCAUGAUUACGAAGGUGGCUUUUCCAGGACAAGUCUUAUCCCCUGGACUCUGGAUGUGCUGACCUCCAAUUUACCAAAUGUGGGAAACUUCGUUGCGUGAUUUGUGGUUGGGGGGACUGUGUUCAUGCUUUCCCCUG
ensembl:snRNA U1 U1 spliceosomal RNA